GAUGAACGCUGGCGGCGUGCUUAACACAUGCAAGUCGAACGGGAAACCUUUUAUUGAGGCUUCGGCAGAUUUCGCUGGUUUCUAGUGGCGGACGGGUGAGUAACGCGUGGGUAACCUGCCCUAUACAGGGGGAUAACAACCAGAAAUGGUUGCUAAUACCGCAUAAGCGCACAGGGCCGCAUGGUCCGGUGUGAAAAACUCCGGUGGUAUAGGAUGGACCCGCGUUGGAUUAGCCAGUUGGCAGGGUAACGGCCUACCAAAGCGACGAUCCAUAGCCGGCCUGAGAGGGUGAACGGCCACAUUGGGACUGAGACACGGCCCAGACUCCUACGGGAGGCAGCAGUGGGGAAUAUUGCACAAUGGGGGAAACCCUGAUGCAGCGACGCCGCGUGAAGGAAGAAGUAUCUCGGUAUGUAAACUUCUAUCAGCAGGGAAGAUAGUGACGGUACCUGACGAAGAAGCCCCGGCUAACUACGUG
rnacentral:rRNA from 1 species